rnacentral:rRNA from 1 species
AAUCAACGCUGGCGGCGUGCCUAACACAUGCAAGUCGAGCGCGAAAGCGGGGCAACUCGCAAGUAGAGCGGCGAACGGGUGAGUAACGCGUGGGUAAUCUACCUCCGAGUGGGGAAUAACACCGGGAAACUGGUGCUAAUACCGCAUGACAUCGUCGGACCGCAAGGACUGACGAUCAAAGCCGGGGACCGCAAGGCCUGGCGCUUGGAGAGGAGCCCGCGUCCGAUUAGCUAGUUGGCGGGGUAAUGGCCCACCAAGGCGACGAUCGGUAGCCGGCCGGGGAGGGCGGACGGCCACACUGGGACUGAGACACGGCCCAGACUCCUACGGGAGGCAGCAGUGGGGAAUUUUUCGCAAUGGGGGAAACCCUGACGAAGCAACGCCGCGUGGAGGAUGAAGGCCUUCGGGUCGUAAACUCCUGUCGACCGGGACGAACGUAGUCCGGCUUAAUACGCCGGGCUAUCGACUGUACCGGUGGAGGAAGCCACGGCUAACUCUGUGCCAGCCGCCGCCGUAAGAC